rnacentral:rRNA from 1 species
AGAGUUUGAUCAUGGCUCAGGAUGAACGCUAGCGGCAGGCCUAAUACAUGCAAGUCGAACGGGAGCAAGUAGCAAUACUUGUUCUAGUGGCGCACGGGUGCGUAACGCGUAUGCAACCUACCUUCUAUUGGGGGAUAGCCUUCCGAAAGGAAGAUUAAUACCGCAUAAUAUCAUUUGAGGGCAUCUGAAGAUGAUUAAAGCUACGGCGAUAGAAGAUGGGCAUGCGUGACAUUAGCUAGUUGGUUGAGGUAACGGCUCACCAAGGCUACGAUGUCUAGGGGUUCUGAGAGGAUGAUCCCCCACACUGGUACUGAGAUACGGACCAGACUCCUACGGGAGGCAGCAGUAGGGAAUAUUGGGCAAUGGACGCAAGUCUGACCCAGCCAUGCCGCGUGCAGGAUGAAGGCCUUCUGGGUUGUAAACUGCUUUUAUCUAGGAAGAAAAUACUCUUGCGAGAGGAACUGACGGUACUAGAUGAAUAAGCACCGGCUAACUCCGUGCCAGCAGCCGCGGUAAUACGGAGGGUGCAAGCGUUGUCCGGAUUUAUUGGGUUUAAAGGGUGCGUAGGCGGCCCUGUAAGUCAGUGGUGAAAGCCCAUAGCUCAACUAUGGAACUGCCAUUGAUACUGCAGGGCUUGAGUACAGACGAGGUUGGCGGAAUUGAUAGUGUAGCGGUGAAAUGCAUAGAUACUAUCAAGAACACCGAUUGCGAAGGCAGCUAACUAGGCUGUAACUGACGCUGAGGCACGAAAGCGUGGGGAGCGAACAGGAUUAGAUACCCUAGUAGUCC